UACGGAGGGUGCAAGCGUUAUCCGGAUUUAUUGGGUUUAAAGGGUCCGUAGGCGGAUCUGUAAGUCAGUAGUGAAAUCUCACAGCUUAACUGUGAAACUGCCAUUGAUACUGCAGGUCUUGAGUGUUAUUGAAGUAGCUGGAAUAAGUAGUGUAGCGGUGAAAUGCAUAGAUAUUACUUAGAACACCAAUUGCGAAGGCAGGUUACUAAGCAACAACUGACGCUGAUGGACGAAAGCGUGGGGAGCGAACAGG
rnacentral:rRNA from 1 species